UACGGGGGGGGCAAGCGUUGUUCGGAAUUACUGGGCGUAAAGGGCUCGUAGGCGGCCAACUAAGUCAAACGUGAAAUCCCUCGGCUCAACUGAGGAAUUGCCUUUGAAACUGUCAGGCUUGAGGCCGGGAGGGGGUGGCGGAAUUCCCAGUGUAGCGGUGAAAUGCGUAGAUAUUGGGAGGAACACCAGUGGCGAAGGCGGCCACCUGGACCGGUUCUGACGCUGAUGCGCGAAAGCGUGGGGAGCAAACAGG
rnacentral:rRNA from 1 species